rnacentral:sRNA from 1 species
GCGUAAAGUCGAAAUUGAGGCGUCUGAGUGUUUUCCGGCUCAUUGACUUGAGCAAUUCGAAUUCAAUUUCAAAUAAUUGCAUUCUACGUGUACGUGUGUGUGUGUGUGUGUGUGUGUGUGACCACAGGUAACGUA